rnacentral:snRNA from 1 species
GUACUCACUUCAGCAGCACAUAUACUAAAACUAGAACCAUACAGAGCAUGGCCCCUGUACAAGGAUGAUACACAAGUAUCAAUCCUUGUGUUCAAUAUUUUU